AGCGAACGCUGGCGGCAUGCCUAACACAUGCAAGUCGCACGGUCGGGGGGUGACCUUCGGCAGUGGCGGACGGGUGAGUAACGCGUAGGGAUCUAUCCUUGGAUGGGGGACAACCGCGGGAAACCGCGGCUAAUACCGCAUGAUGCCUGAGGGCCAAAGCUCGCGAGAGCGUCUGGGGAGGAGCCUGCGUCCGAUUAGCUUGUUGGUGGGGUAACGGCCCACCAAGGCGCGAUCGGUAGCUGGUCUGAGAGGAUGAUCAGCCACACUGGGACUGAGACACGGCCCAGACUCCUACGGGAGGCAGCAGGUGGGGAAUAUUGGACAAUGGGCGCAAGCCUGAUCCAGCAAUGCCGCGU
rnacentral:rRNA from 1 species